rnacentral:rRNA from 1 species
AAGUCGUAACAAGGUCUCCGUAGGUGAACCUGCGGAGGGAUCAUUAACAGAGAUGGUGGGCCUCCGUGCCCCCGUCCCCAACCCUUUGUUGACCAAAACCUUUUUGCCUCGGGGGUGGAGCGGCCGUCGUGCCGCCGCCCCCGGUGGACCACCAAACGCUGUCUCUGUACGUCGGAGUCUUAAUGAAAAUAAAUGAAAACUUUCAACAACGGAUCUCUUGGUUCUGGCAUCGAUGAAGAACGCAGCGAAAUGCGAUAAGUAAUGUGAAUUGCAGAAUUCAGUGAAUCAUCGAAUCUUUGAACGCACAUUGCGCCCUUUGGCAUUCCGAAGGGCAUGCCCGUUCGAGCGUCAUUAAAUCCAAUCAAGCCCGGCUUGGUAUUGGGCGUCGGGGUAUCCCCGUGCCUCAAUUUCACCGGCUGGCCGUCGCCCGUCUUAGCGCUGUGACUUAUGUUUCGCUAGCGAUGGGAGGCGGACCAUGCCGUUAAACCCCACGAAUUUCCAUCGGAAUUCGAUUAAGGUUGACCUCGGAUCGGGUAGGAAUACCCGCUGAACUUAA